UUUACACACUUGAAAUUAACCAGGAGGUAUUGACAUCGUCUCUUUUUCCAAAAAAGGGGAUUAUAACCAGAAGUAGCUGGCAACACAUGUGAAGAUGGCUGGCCUGUGCUGGCUGGUGAUGGUGCCAGCCUUCUUCCUGUCUCCUCCAAACAUUUUGGCUGCUGUAAACCAGGACUGGCUCACGAACAUUGUAGCAGCUGUCAAGAACAAGUAUGAACUAGGUGAUUCCUUCAGCAUGGCUUUGAACAUCCCACAGAAUCAAGAUCCAAGCAGUCUCCAAGAAGUCCUUCAGAAUGACCCAGCAGACAGCGUGACAGGAGCCAUUUCACAGGACCAAGUGUACAAAGGCACCAGGGUGGUGGCAGCGACACAGUCACAGGCACUAUCACAUGUUCUUCAUAACAUACAACCAUUCAUAAACAGUAGUGAGGGUAACGUUCUCGUCAUCUACUCUGAAAACUCUCCAAUUUCAAAUGACGAAGGUAUCACUUUGAACAUUAGUGAUAUCACUAAUAACUGGAGCGGUU